rnacentral:rRNA from 1 species
GAUGAACGCUGGCGGCGUGCCUAAUACAUGCAAGUCGAGCGAACAGACGAUGAGCUUUCUCCUCUGACGUUAGCGGCUGACGGGUGAGUAACACGUGUAUAACCUACCUAUAUGUCUGGGAUAACUUCGGGAAACCUGAGCUAAUACCGUUUAAUAUAUUGAACCGCAUGGUUCAAUAUUUAAAUACGGUUUUUCUGUCUCUUAUAGAUGGUUCCGCGCCGGAUUAGCUAGUUGGUAAGGUAACGGCUUACCAAGGCAACGAUGCGUAUCCGACAUGAGAGGGUGAUCGGACAAACUGGAAGUGAGACAGGGAACAGAGUACUACGGGAGGCAGCAGAAGGGAAUAUUCCGCAAUGGGCGAAAGCAUGACGGAGCAACGGAGGGUGAGUGAUGAAGGUCUUAGGAUCGUAAAACUAUGUUAGUAGGGAAGAAAAAAAGUGUAAGUAAAUAUGCACGUAAUGACGGUAACUAAACAGAAAGCAACGGCUAACUACGUG